UACUGGAGGACAGGUGGCUGCAUGGCUGUCGUCAGCUCGUGUCGUGAGAUGUUGGGUUAAGUCCCGCAACGAGCGCAACCCUUGCCUUUAGUUGCCAGCAGUUCGGCUGGGCACUCUAAAGGGACUGCCGGUGUUAAACCGGAGGAAGGUGGGGAUGACGUCAAGUCCUCAUGGCCUUUAUGACCAGGGCUACACACGUACUACAAUGGCCGAUACAAAGGGCAGCGACACUGCGAGGUGAAGCCAAUCCCGUAAAAUCGGUCUCAGUCCGGAUUGGAGUCUGCAACUCGACUCCAUGAAGUUGGAAUCGCUAGUAAUCGUGGAUCAGCAUGCCACGGUGAAUACGUUCCCGGGCCUU
rnacentral:rRNA from 1 species